rnacentral:rRNA from 1 species
UACGUAGGGGGCGAGCGUUGUCCGGAAUCAUUGGGCGUAAAGCGCGUGUAGGCGGCCCGAUAAGUCCGCCGUGAAAGUCCAGGGCUCAACCCUGGAAUGCCGGUGGAAACUGUCGGGCUGGAGUCCGGAAGAGGCGAGUGGAAUUCCUGGUGUAGCGGUGAAAUGCGCAGAUAUCAGGAGGAACACCAAUGGCGAAGGCAGCUCGCUGGGGACGGUACUGACGCUGAGACGCGAAAGCGUGGGGAGCAAACAGG